CCCCCCACCCCACCAUUUUUAUCUCUGGAGUAAUUUGUUUACUGCUAGAAAACACCUGGCAUGUAUAUAUACUGGUUUUACCAUCUCUUACGGUUAUUUCUAUUUUUUUUGCACCAGCCUUGUAUCCGAUUUUUGUGGAUCUGGGAACGGCUGGCCAGUGUGCGGUGGUGAUGGCGGGCUACAGGAAGGAGGCAGCGGCGUCCUGGAUCUGUUCUCGCUAGCGGCAGCGGUGAGGAGUCAGUGGAUCUGGUGGAUUUGUCGAUGGAGUCAGGUGGAGUGCCGUCGCCGAUCUUCAACUUCCCCUCUCCCGCGAGUUUCCUCCCAUGUCGGCUUCUGCUAGCCAUGGUAGAAUCGGUGCCGCUAUCGAGAUGAGCCAGAUCCGGCAUCUACCUUCCACAGUUCCCCACCGAGAACAGGAUGCAGACACAAGUUGAAUGAUUAGACCCCAAGAGAGACUAAUUUCUUUGAUGCUCUUAGAUGUCAUCGGUUUGUGUCCCAUGCAUGUACGGCUGUAGUGGCCGUUUUCCAAAUUAGAUACGGUAGGAAGAUCCUCACAGGUGGCUCAACACAGCUGGCAGCGGCGGGGUCGACGACACAGAUCGAGCACCUUCCAUCCACACCAAUCCGACGACAUCGGCUGCAGCUAGCUGCUACUCUGUCACCGGAUGGAUUGAGGAGCACCCGAGCUGAGGUUUAUGGUUGAUUAUACUUAACCCUUUCGUGAUUCUCCAACUAAAUAUGAAAAUUGUACUGGUUGGAGGAUUUGAGAAGAUGCUGCAAUCUUCAGCACGAGGAAUUUCUAUAGCAUGAAGCAAGAGAGAGAAAGUGCGACGACAUUGUUUGUGAAAAAUAGACUUGAUGUUAACUCCUGUAUAUAUAUAUUUCUUUCAAUUGGCUUUUCUUCAAAUGGAUUGUAAGAAGCAUGAACACUGAAACAGAGGUACUGUAGUUUAGUAAGAUUUUGCUCUAAUAUGUAAUAGUGACUUGGUUACUAAGAGAAAUUUUGUGACAAGAUUAAUAUGUUAUGUUGAGAACCAUCAGUGUAAUUUAGUUACUAAGAGACAAUGUUGAGAACCAUCAGUGUAAUAGUAAGUUGGUUACUACGAGAAAUUUUAUGGCAAGAUCAAUAUGUUGUGUUGA